GUGCUCGCUUCAGCAGCAUAUAUACUAAAAUUGGAACAAUACAGAGAAGAUUAGCAUGGCCCUUUCGCAAAGGCGACAGCAAAUUCGUGAAGCAUCCCAUAUUAAA
rnacentral:snRNA from 1 species